GAUAUUCACUCUCAAAAAUGUUGUUUCUGAGGAUCCUGUUUUCUAGAGAAAAUAGGUCUGGUGGUAAUUAUUCCUGCUACACUGGAGAUGAAAGAAAUUAUGGUCUAACCAUGGUGAUCUGCCUCAACUAGGAAACUGAAUUACUAAUCAAUUACAGAGUAGCGAAGAUGUUAUUAUUCUCACUGCUUUGGGAGUGUAAUAUUCUGCCAUAGAUAAGGAGGAAAAUAAAAAAUAAACAGCUGAAUCUCAUGCUCCACCCAAUGUGCUAAAAGUCAACUGUAUCCAAAACAGAGAGCCAGCCAACGCCAGGAAAGAAUGGAAUAUUUAAAAGUGAGCUUCUGAUAUUUCAUCCAGGGGAAACUGACAACUUAAAUAAAACCGGUUUUGUAAGGCAGCAAGGCUGAUAGAAGCACAGAAUCAUAAUGGAUAUUCUUGUAUAGCUCUCCAAGAGGGGUCCGUCAGAUGGCAGGGACACAGUAGGAGGAGCCCACCUGGCAGCGAGUAGGGUGCUGGCCUCUCGGAGCCCAACCUGCAGCACCAGAGAGUGAGCAUUUAAAACGAGCUGAUACAGCUCAGUGCCUAGCACACAGCAGUCAGCCAGUGUUAACUCCACCUUUUAUUAACUCGAGAAGCCAGAAACAUGGGCUGGGCCAUCCAAAAAGCAAAAAUAACAUGUAGUCAUAACAUCAAUUUCUGAGGUAAGUGCCUUGCCCAAAAGGGCC
rnacentral:lncRNA from 1 species